CCUACGGGUGGCAGCAGUUUUUACUAUUUCCCCCUUUUCUCCCUCCUGCUGCCGCCCCGCCGCGUGAAUGAAGAAGGGUUUCGGCUCGUAAACUUCUAUCAACAGGGACGAAAGAAAUGACGGUACCCGAAUAAGAAGCCCCGGCUAACUACUGACCAGCAGCCGCGGGAAUACGUAGGGGGCAAGCGUUAUCCGGAAUUACUGGGUGUAAGGGGUGAGUAGGCGGAAUGGUAAGCCAGAUGUGAAAGCCUUGUGCUUAACCUGAGGAUUGCAUUUGGAACUAUCCAGCUAGAGUACAGGAGAGGAAAGCGGAAUUCCUAGUGUAGCGGUGAAAUGCGUAGAUAUUAGGAAGAACACCAGUGGCGAAGGCGGCUUUCUGGACUGAAACUGACGCUGAGGCACGAAAGCGUGGGGAGCGAACAGGAUUAGAUACCCCGGUAGUC
rnacentral:rRNA from 1 species